CGUUCUGUAAGCCUGUGAAGGUGUGCUGUGAGGCAUGCUGGAGGUAUCAGAAGUGCGAAUGCUGACAUAAGUAACGAUAAAGCGGGUGAAAAGCCCGCUCGCCGGAAGACCAAGGGUUCCUGUCCAACGUUAAUCGGGGCAGGGUGAGUCGACCCCUAAGGCGAGGCCGAAAGGCGUAGUCGAUGGGAAACAGGUUAAUAUUCCUGUACUUGGUGUUACUGCGAAGGGGGGACGGAGAAGGCUAUGUUGGCCGGGCGACGGUUGUCCCGGUUUAAGCGUGUAGGCUGGUUUUCCAGGCAAAUCCGGAAAAUCAAGG
rnacentral:rRNA from 1 species